rnacentral:rRNA from 1 species
AAUAACUAGAGUUUGCCCCGCGGCUUGGAGACCCACAGGGAUUGCCCCAGUAACGGCGAGUGAAGCGGCAACAGCUCAAAUUUGAAAUCUGGCUUCGGCCCGAGUUGUAAUUUGUAGAGGAUGCUUUGGGCGCGGCGCCUUCUGAGUUCCCUGGAACGGGACGCCACAGAGGGUGAGAGCCCCGUAUAGUUGGACGCCUAGCCUGUGUAAAGCUCCUUCGACGAGUCGAGUAGUUUGGGAAUGCUGCUCAAAAUGGGAGGUAAAUUUCUUCUAAAGCUAAAUACCGGCCAGAGACCGAUAGCGCACAAGUAGAGUGAUCGAAAGAUGAAAAGCACUUUGAAAAGAGGGUUAAAUAGCACGUGAAAUUGUUGAAAGGGAAGCGCUUGUGGCCAGACUUGCGCCGGGCUGAUCAUCCGGGGUUCUCCCCGGUGCACUCGGCCCGGCUCAGGCCAGCAUCGGUUCUCGCGGGGGGACAAAGGCCUCGGGAACGUAGCUCCUCCGGGAGUGUUAUAGCCCGGGGCGUAAUGCCCUCGCGGGGACCGAGGUACGCGCAUCUGCAAGGAUGCUGGCGUAAUGGCCACCAGCACGCCCU